CUGAACCAGCCAAGUAGCGUGAAGGAUGACUGCCCUAUGGGUUGUAAACUUCUUUUAUAAAGGAAUAAAGUCAGGUAUGCAUACCCGUUUGCAUGUACUUUAUGAAUAAGGAUCGGCUAACUCCGUGCCAGCAGCCGCGGUAAUACGGAGGAUCCGAGCGUUAUCCGGAUUUAUUGGGUUUAAAGGGAGCGUAGGCGGACGCUUAAGUCAGUUGUGAAAGUUUGCGG
rnacentral:rRNA from 1 species